AUACUUGUCCAGAGCGCGCGAUACAUCAUGCAGGCGUGGACUCCACCUUGGUUUACGGCAAGAUCGAUGAAUCAUAAUGAUGAUGACAAGAAAUAGUAAAAAUUAUGAUUAAAAAUGGCUCUUUCAAACCAGUAGUGCAUAGCAGCACCAGAGGGGCAUGUUUAUUUUAUUUUAUUUUUUUGUAUAUAGAAAAACACCGUCCAGAUCCAAACCAUUAUUGUUUGAAUUUGUCUCCAGAUUGGUAAAAAAAUUGAAAAUUUUAAUGUAUGCUGGUACAGCAUCUCAGUACUUUUCCGGGUGAAAAUGCCGGCCCUUUAUGUAGAAUUAGGGUUACAGGGAUAAAAGAAAUCAGAGCAACUGGACCAAUUGUUGACAGCAAAUGCUAGAAGCAUGGCUACUAUAGAAGUUGAAAAGAAUUAGAAUGCCUACAACCAAUCUUUUUGGCAAGGUUUCCAGGAAAUCUUCUUCAGCAUACUGCGAUGUAAGGAUGGACAAAAACUUUAGCAUGGAUGUCACCGAACAGAAUAAUCCACUCAUCUCAUCGGAGGAAUACAUGACAAUGGCGACAUUUUCUCUCUCGUCGGCACUGCCACUCUCUUUCUCCAACAACAAAGAGCCCUUCAUCUCUCUACAAACUCAUUGUGUUAUAUCAGUUUCGUAUUAAGCUUGUCAAGAGUUGAUUAUCAUCCUUAUUAAGGCAUUUCUUCAAACAGUUCACGGUCACUACUUGGAUAUUCUCUUUUCAGAACCCAAAAAAGGGUGUCAUUCUACCAUGAACAGCAUUGAUAAAGGUCUGUCAAAAUACCUGAUUUCUCCUGCUCGAUGUUCUAAUUCGGGGGCUUCUUCUGCUUACCGAGUUGUUUCUUGGCAUGGAAGCUGCGGAUAGGUGGGUUAGUCCUUAUAAAGAAGCAAUAAUCCACACAUCUUUUCGAUGUGGGAUAAUGCAUUCUUUUUUUCUUCUUAUCCUCUUUUUUUGUUCAUGUUACUCUUUCUUGCAAGGGUGAGGUUGGCUUCUGCGAAUUGAUGAAGUAAAUAACUGGUCACUCUCACAAGUCGUUGAUAUCGAUGUAUCGCGCGAUAAUCGUUCGGCGCGCGCGAUUUCCAGCAAGAUAGAUAGAUAAUGAAGGCGUGGACUCCACCCACCUCGGGUUCACACAUGAUUUCGUUCUCUUCUGUUUCUUUUAUUGACAAAGUCUUUGCCUUUACUCCAUGCCUGUCCCCCCACAAGAAAAAGUAGUCUCAUCAUCAUCCCAAUGAUACUAAUUUGUUGUUCAAAAUAUGCUUUUCAUUCACGAAUAAAUUGAACCCUUUUGCUUGUUGAGCUCAAUCCACUAUAGAUAUUGUUCACGCUAUGAUUUAAGGCCUAUGUGAUUUUAUUCUUUAAAAAGAAUCUUAAAUAUUUGAGAUUGGGCUUACACUUACAAAUCACAUCAUUGGUUUUACACUAAACCGAUGUGAGAUAUUUUACAAGUCUUAACAAUUUCAACUCCAAUCAAUUUACUUCCUAAACCUUGUAUUUGUUCUAUUUUUAAAGACUCCUCAAAUUUUCAAGUUAUACUAUUAAUAUUGUGAAUGCGUAUUUUAGUAUCUGAGUAUUGUCUGUUCCGAGGUACGGCGCGGGCUUUUUUACCAUCCUCUCACGUUUUUUUUAAAGAAUAUUUUUAUUUCCCCACCUCCCCACCCUAGAACCCAUAUUCUCUUUGGUUAUGGAGAGUGAGUACUCAUAUCAUUUUAGGACCUCAUAGAUAUAUAUAUAUAUAUAUAUAUAUAUAUAUAUAUAUACUUUAUACACAAAACCAAGCCUAGCUAAUUAAUUAAAAUGUACCAAUCAAACCUAAUUCCAAACUGGAGAUGGAAAAUAUUCAAUAGAAAAUCUACUGUUUUACUUCUAUUUCUAUACGACUAUAUAGAAUCAACUUAACUAGUGGGUUGUGCUUGCUGGAGGCGAUAUAUAUCGUUGGAACUCGAGGAGGAAGAUUUGCUGUUGUUGCAAGCUGAAGGCUGAAGCACACUGCUUUGCUGCUGAUCUUCUACACAGAAUAUCAGUUCAGCACAUACUGAUGAUGGUGUUGCUCUUCACACUUGUGGGUGGCGCUCUUGCUGUUGGUUAAUUUACAAGAUCUGUUUUCUUUGUGUUCUUGGUCAUUUUGGUGAUCGCGAUUGAUUCUCAGAAUACCUCUUUGGUGUUCCUCUCUUGUGAUGGUGUUCAUGGAUUUGCGGCGAUGAAGAAGAGCUAUGAGUUGCUGAAGGGAAAGAUUCGUAUGGCGGUACGCAACCAUAUGUGCGUAAAACAUCGACUUAGACAAACUCGAUAAUAUAUAUAUAUAUAUUUUGUGGCUUGCUGAAAAUAGCUCCAUGGCAUUUGUUAUGUCUAUGGACAUUUUGUACAAAUUGAUUAGUCUCUCUUCGUGUUGCGUAACUUGUUACAGGUAUUUGAAUCGCUCUAUUCUCUCAUAUCAUAUUGGUAACUCAAAAGGUGUAAAUGUGAAAAGUUUGAACUUUCGUAAAUUUUCUACUAAUAUUUUGAUUAUGGUAUCUUACUCAAUUUUCUCGAUCCGUAAGUAGUCGCAAGGCGUCGAUGUAUAUAGUUGAAAUUGAGUAGCAAUCUAUAAGGUUGCAUGUACAACGGUGAGAUUUCUAUAAUUAUUUUGAAUUAUUGCUGUCUCUAUAUAUUACACGAUCAUUAAAUCAAUUCGCAGAAGCCAAGCCUCGUCUCCUAAGAACGAGUAACAGACAAAAAAAAA